rnacentral:lncRNA from 1 species
GGAUCAGGAUGUGAUAUACAGUAUAUAAAAAAGUAGAAUUAUCCUAAUUGUUGACAAAAUUCCAAAGCUUGGGAUGAAGUUGAAGAAAAUCUGCUUUUGAACCUUUGGAUAAGUUUGGAUUAGAACACAAUUAAAUUACUGUUAUGCUCCAUUAUUUGGUGACCCCACAACACAAAACUUCAUUUCUCAAAGUGUUACUAAAAGAGAUUUUAUCAUGAACAAUAUGGAAGCAUAUUCUCUGCCCCAAUAUUGAUUAUGACGUGACAUGCUGGUUAACUUUACAAUACAUUCAUAUUUCUAUUUAUUUGUAAGUGAAAUAUUUUAUGUUUAAAUUAUUUGAAUAAUGAGUUUAAUACUAAAUUAUUAUACCUUUGUGCAAUGUGGUGCCCAACCCAAAUUUUUAAUCUUCUAGUUAAAUAUAUUGUUAUAUCAAAACAAAAUAUGAAUCAUGGAGAUUUUUUAAUAUAACAUUUAUCAUGUCAUGCCAGUUAGUUUUAUGGUAUAUUGAUAUAUCUAUCUACUUGUAAGUGAAAUGUUUUAAGUUCGAAUUUUCUGAAUAAUGAGUUGAUUACUAAAUUUUUAUAGUUUUGUUCAAUAUGUUUCAAUGUUACAAAUACUGCGUUGAUCCUAGCCGUUGACAAGUUUUUGCUGUUUUGAUUAGUGAAAUUCCAUGCAUCCAAAGGGUAGAUAUAAAGUAAAAAACAAAAUUACCUUGACCCAAAAUUAAUUUUUAUAUUUACCAGAAAAAUAAUGAAGAAAUGUAAAUUUUGUAUUUUGGUAAAUAUUAAAAAAAUAAUGAUAAAAAGUUGAGCUGGACUUGUUGCGAAUGGGUUGCCGGUUGCUUUUUAGUGUGUAGUGGCAAUGUGGCAUCCACACCACAACCACAAGCGUAACGCCGUUUGUCCCCCACCAACCGGUCUUCUUUGUAACCGUGCAAACUUUAGUACCGUCCACUCCUUUAGCCUCUAUUUAUGAAUUUGAUUGACAAGAUAGGUCAAAUUUGGAAUUUUAAAAUAUUCAUUUUCUAGAAGAAAAAAAAAGUCGAAAUAUAUGAGAACAAAAUAGGGAGUUUUUGGUACGAGAAAUACUAAGAAGAUUUUCUCAAAUAUUUUUCAUGAAUUAUUUACCAUCUCAGAGUUUAUCGUUAAUUAUCGUGACAACAACAUUAUAGGACGUUAUGCAAAAAACAUGAGGUGGUACAAAAUCCAUGGAGAGUCUUCACUUUAAGAAAAUCUCCUUAGCAUUUCUCAUACUGAGUACUGCUAUAUUUUGUACUCAUGUGUUUUCAACUUUUUUAAGAAAAUGAAUAUAUUUCAAAAUUAUAAUCAAGUUUGCAAUGAGCGCAUCAUUGCACCUAAAUUCUUAUAAUAAUCAACUCGAGUCUCAUUGAAUAUCUUAAAACUCAAAUUCUGCAAUUUAACAUUCAAAAAGUCAAUUCGUGUCACACUUUACCCCUACCGUCAAAAUCUACUAAUAAUUCCUUUAUAACUGUUAUCGCGGUACAAAUUGUAACAACCCGUCCCAAUUAAAUUUACGGAUUUUGGACAUUUCACGAGUGAAAUAUAUAUUUGGGGAUUAUUUUUGGGCCUUAAUUGGUGAGCCGAGAGGGGCCCACCUUCCUUUUUGGUCCCCCGACCCUCCCUUCCUCUUGGCCGUCACGUGGACCCCUCUCAUCUUUUCCUUUCACUUUCUCUUCUUCUCUCUUCUCUCCCCCGAGUUCACUUUCUUUCUCUC